AGUGAACGCUGGCGGUAGGCCUAACACAUGCAAGUCGAACGGCAGCACAGUAAGAGCUUGCUCUUACAGGUGGCGAGUGGCGGACGGGUGAGGAAUACAUCGGAAUCUACUUUUUCGUGGGGGAUAACGUAGGGAAACUUACGCUAAUACCGCAUACGACCUACGGGUGAAAGCAGGGGAUCUUCGGACCUUGCGCGAUUGAAUGGGCCGAUGUCGGAUUAGCUAGUUGGCGGGGUAAAGGCCCACCAAGGCGACGAUCCGUAGCUGGUCUGAGAGGAUGAUCAGCCACACUGGAACUGAGACACGGUCCAGACUCCUACGGGAGGCAGCAGUGGGGAAUAUUGGACAAAGGGCGCAAGCCUGAUCCAGCCAUACCGCGUGGGUGAAGAAGGCCUUCGGGUUGUAAAGCCCUUUUGUUGGGAAAGAAAAGCAGCAGGUUAAUACCCCGCUGUUCUGACGGUACCCAAAGAAUAAGCACCGGCUAACUUCGUG
rnacentral:rRNA from 1 species